AACUGUACCGCUAAGCCGUUUGCGCCUAAUUUCACUUCUUCUUCUUUUGCUUUCUGUCGGUACUAGUGGGAUAUGGUUCGAAGAGUAUAACACAGCGGAGUUAAAACUAAGAGUAGCGUAUAAGCGUGUUCGGUCACUUUUUAAAACGAAGUUGGUCCUUUUUCGGAAAACAAUUUUCUUUCAGAAAAUUUAUCGAACAGUUUGUGUGCAGACAAAAGUAACAAGUGCAGGGAGUAGAAAAAUCACACAAGUAAUUUUUAUACUGGUUCGAUUCAGAAGAAUCUACGUCCAAUCGUUAAUCACUAUGAACAGUGAUUAACAGUUCC
rnacentral:lncRNA from 1 species